rnacentral:rRNA from 1 species
UACGUAGGGUGCGAGCGUUGUCCGGAAUUACUGGGCGUAAGGAGCUCGUAGGUGGUUUGUCGCGUUGUCCGUGAAAACUCACAGCUUAACUGUGGGCGUGCGGGCGAUACGGGCAGACUAGAGUACUGCAGGGGAGACUGGAAUUCCUGGUGUAGCGGUGGAAUGCGCAGAUAUCAGGAGGAACACCGGUGGCGAAGGCGGGUCUCUGGGCAGUAACUGACGCUGAGGAGCGAAAGCGUGGGGAGCGAACAGG